rnacentral:rRNA from 1 species
UACAGAGGUCCCAAGCGUUGUUCGGAUUCACUGGGCGUAAAGGGUGCGUAGGUGGCGAGGUAAGUCUGAUGUGAAAUCUCCGAGCUUAACUCGGAAAUGGCAUUGGAAACUACUUUGCUUGAGGGUUGGAGGGGGGACUGGAAUACUUGGUGUAGCAGUGAAAUGCGUAGAUAUCAAGUGGAACACCAGUGGCGAAGGCGAGUCCCUGGACAACUCCUGACACUGAGGCACGAAAGCUAGGGGAGCAAACAGG